rnacentral:rRNA from 1 species
GUUCCUCGAUAAUCAACCUGCCCUGGAGACAUGGACAACCCCGCGGAAACUGGGAUUAAUCCGUGAUAGGUCAUCUCAUCUGGAAGGAGAGAUGGCUUAAAGGGAUGCGCGGGCUUCUUCUGCGUAUUUGCUCCAGGAUGGGACUGCGUCCGAUCAGGCUGUUGGCGGGGUAAUGGCCCACCAAACCAGUAACCGGUACGGGCCUUGAGAGAGGUGGCCCGGAGAUGGACACUGAGAGAAGGGUCCAGGUCCUACGGGGCGCAGCAGGCGCGAAACCUUCGCAAUGCGCGCAAGCGUGACGAGGUUAAUCCGAGUGAUUUCCGCUGAGGAGACCUUUUGUCUGCUGUAAAUAGGCAGGCGAAUAAGGGGAGGGCAAGCCUGGUGUCAGCCGCCGCGGUAAUACCAGCUCCUCGAGUGGUCGGGGCGAUUAUUGGGCCUAAAGCAUCCGUAGCCGGUUCCGUAGGUCCUCUGUUAAAUCCAACCGCCCAACGGUUGACCUGCAGAGGAUACCGCGAGACU